GAUAGAAAAUAGGUGCCCGUACCGCAAACCGACACAGGUAGUCAAGAUGAGAAUUCUAAGGUGAGCGAGCGAACUCUCGUUAAGGAACUCGGCAAAAUGACCCCGUAACUUCGGGAGAAGGGGUGCUCUUUAGGGUUAACGCCCAGAAGAGCCGCAGUGAAUAGGCCCAAGCGACUGUUUAUCAAAAACACAGGUCUCUGCUAAACCGUAAGGUGAUGUAUAGGGGCUGACGCCUGCCCGGUGCUGGAAGGUUAAGAGGAGUGGUUAGCUUCUGCGAAGCUACGAAUCGAAGCCCCAGUAAACGGCGGCCGUAACUAUAACGGUCCUAAGGUAGCGAAAU
rnacentral:rRNA from 1 species